rnacentral:rRNA from 1 species
UGGGGAAUAUUGGACAAUGGGGGCAACCCUGAUCCAGCCAUGUCGCGUGUGUGAAGAAGGCCUUAGGGUUGUAAAGCACUUUCAGUGGGGAGAAAGGUUGUUUACUUAAUACGUAAAUAAAUUGAUGUUACCCACAGAAGAAGCACCGGCUAACUCCGUGCCAGCAGCCGCGGUAAUACGGAGGGUGCAAGCGUUAAUCGGAAUUACUGGGCGUAAAGCGCACGUAGGUGGUUCGCUAAGUCAGCUGUGAAAUCCCCGGGCUCAACCUGGGACUUGCAGUUGAAACUGGUGAGCUAGAGUAGGGUAGAGGGGUGUGGAAUUCCAGGUGUAGCGGUGAAAUGCGUAGAUAUCUGGAGGAACAUCAGUGGCGAAGGCGACACCCUGGACUCAUACUGACACUGAGGUGCGAAAGCGUGGGGAGCAAACAG